ACUUAAACUCAUCAUUCUGGAAAAGAUAACAAGGGCUAUAUUUACCAUCAUAAUUUCCGAUAAUAUAUUUAUCUUGCUGGUUUGUGUUUUAUAAUAAAAUUAACUUAUAUGAAUAGUGAAUUGGAACUACAUUACAACCGUCGGAGGAAAGUACUGGUAAAUGCUUCUAAUGCAGAAGAUAAGCACCACAGAUCAUAAAUACUAGCUAACGAGCAUGUACGUGACACUUAUCAAUUAUAAUUGCAUGUUCACCCCAUUGUUGGAGCAAACAUCUGUUGCAUCACCAGGAAAACAGAAGAAUUCUUGAUAGCAUAAAUCAAAUGUUAGAAUUUGUAAGUCCCUUUGUCAUUUAAAGGGCAAUUAGCAGGUAAAAUUAUAGGCUAUUGGCAGAGAUUUUCAAGCUCCUUAUCAACAGAUGCUAAAAAUUAAUUGUAAUAAAUAAUUCGCAUGGGUAAUGUCUAUAGGCAUGAUAUGCAAAGAUGCAAUAAAUGUCUAUCAGAGUGGUUUAUAUAACCCCGACCCCAG
rnacentral:misc_RNA from 1 species